rnacentral:rRNA from 1 species
GAUGAACGCUGGCGGCGUGCCUAAUACAUGCAAGUCGAGCGAACAGACGAGGAGCUUGCUCCUCUGACGUUAGCGGCGGACGGGUGAGUAACACGUGGAUAACCUACCUAUAAGACUGGGAUAACUUCGGGAAACCGGAGCUAAUACCGGAUAAUAUAUUGAACCGCAUGGUUCAAUAGUGAAAGACGGUUUUGCUGUCACUUAUAGAUGGAUCCGCGCCGCAUUAGCUAGUUGGUAAGGUAACGGCUUACCAAGGCAACGAUGCGUAGCCGACCUGAGAGGGUGAGCGGCCACACAGGAACUGAGACACGGUCCAGACACCUACGGGAGGCAGCAGUAGGGAAUCUUCCGCAAUGGGCGAAAGCCUGACGGAGCAACGCCGCGUGAGUGAUGAAGGUCUUCGGAUCGUAAAACUCUGUUAUUAGGGAAGAACAAAUGUGUAAGUAACUAUGCACGUCUGGACGGUACCUAAGCAGAAAGCCACGGCUAACUACGU